rnacentral:rRNA from 1 species
UACGUAGGGUGCAAGCGUUAAUCGGAAUUACUGGGCGUAAAGCGUGCGCAGGCGGCUUUGCAAGACAGAUGUGAAAUCCCCGGGCUUAACCUGGGAACUGCAUUUGUGACUGCAUGGCUGGAGUGCGGCAGAGGGGGAUGGAAUUCCGCGUGUAGCAGUGAAAUGCGUAGAUAUCAGGAAGAACACCCGUGGCGAAGGCGGCUCUCUGGGACGGUACUGACGCUGAGACGCGAAAGCGUGGGGAGCAAACAGG